AAGCAAAGCACGUUUGAAUUAAUAUUUCAGGAAUUUGCACAUGAAUCUGACAUAAGUAAAUCUUUACUUACGACUUGUCAUUUAAUUGCACAGCUGAUUUAGCUAAAAUUAAUAAUUAAAAACAGAACUAUUAACAUAUGAGACAUCCAAUAGGAGUCAAGAAUAUAAAUCGUGUUAAAAUCAACAUACAAUCAAUUGAUAAUGGGCACUCGGCACAUGGAGUAGAAGCGAGGAAACGAAGACACUACCACAAACGGAAGCCCUAUCUCUACCUUUUAAAGAGAGUUUUCUCUUUUUUUUUUCCAGUUCUAGGGUCCAGCUCUCUUCUUCUGCCGGAAAGCAGCUUUCUCUACGCUUAUUCUUGGCCUUGGGUUUGGUGGAAUGAACACCAUCUAGAAGAUCUUUCGGCUGUGCAUAUGUGGGUAUUACGGCACUGGUGGAAGAUGAUGUUGGGUGUUCUGGAUUGGGCUCCUUACCCGGUUGUUUGGUUGUUCUACGGUUUAGGUUGGGAUUGAGUCCUUA
rnacentral:misc_RNA from 1 species